UCACCCCUCAAGCCCUGUGCUUGGUAUUGGACGGUCUGGUCGGUUUAUACGACCCCUCCUAAAGACAAUGACGGCGGCCUGUGGAGCCCCCGGUACACUGAGCUUUUAACUGAGCACGUACUGGACAAGGGCGCCCGGGACCCGGUCUUCUCCCGCUUAGGUGGGAAAACUCUUCUAAG
rnacentral:misc_RNA from 1 species